rnacentral:rRNA from 1 species
CAAGUCGUGGGGCAGCAUGUCCCGCAGCAAUGCGGGAUGAUGGCGACCGGCAAACGGGUGCGGAACACGUACACAACCUUCCUUUAAGUGGGGGAUAGCCCAGGGAAACUUGGAUUAAUACCCCGUAAUAUAUAGAAGCGGCAUCGCUUUUAUAUUAUAGCAGCAAUGCGCUUGAAGAUGGGUGUGCGGCUGAUUAGAUAGUUGGCGGGGUAACGGCCCACCAAGUCGACGAUCAGUAACUGGUGUGAGAGCACGACCAGUCACACGGGCACUGAGACACGGGCCCGACUCCUACGGGAGGCAGCAGUAAGGAAUAUUGGUCAAUGGACGCAAGUCUGAACCAGCCAUGCCGCGUGGAGGAUGAAGGUCCUCUGGAUUGUAAACUUCUUUUAUCUGGGAAGAAAUCCAUUUUUUCUAGAAUGGUUGACGGUACCAGAUGAAUAAGCACCGGCUAACUCCGUGCCAGCAGCCGCGGUAAUACGGAGGGUGCAAGCGUUAUCCGGAUUCACUGGGUUUAAAGGGUGCGUAGGUGGGCAAGUAAGUCAGUGGUGAAAUCUCCGGGCUUAACCCGGAAACUGCCAUUGAUACUAUUUGUCUUGAAUACUGUGGAGGUCAGCGGAAUAUGUCAUGUAGCGGUGAAAUGCUUAGAUAUGACAUAGAACACCAAUUGCGAAGGCAGCUGGCUACACAAAUAUUGACACUGAGGCACGAAAGCGUGGGGAUCAAACAGGAUUAGAUACCCUGGUAGUCCACGCCCUAAACUAUGGAUACUCGACAUUUGCGAUAAACUGCAAGUGUCUGAGCGAAAGCAUUAAGUAUCCCACC